rnacentral:rRNA from 1 species
GACGUAGGGCGCGAGCGUUGUCCGGAUUUAUUGGGCGUAAAGGGCGCGUAGGCGGUGCUGUAAGUCUGUGGUGAAAGCCCGGAGCUCAACUCCGGAACUGCCAUUGAAACUGUUGGACUUGAGGAUGAGAGAGGUGAGUGGAAUUCCCAGUGUAGAGGUGAAAUUCGUAGAUAUCGGGAGGAACACCUGUGGCGAAAGCGGCUCGCUGGACCACAACUGACGCUGAGGCGCGAAAGCUAGGGGAGCAAACAGG